GCAGGCAUCAGUUUAUCAGGCGGCCUGCGGUGCACUUACAGCUCAAACUGUGAAGCCAUAUUGUUGUAAGGUUGAUGACAAAUGAGGUCAUGGCCUGUUUCAGUAUGAAGUGGGGGAAGGGGAAGCUUGCUUUCACCAAGAUCAAUCUGUACACUGUUGUCACAGAGAGUGUCCAGAAAACAUCAAAAGAGACGGGGCAAAUACUGCAGCAGCCACUGCCUUUUGUUUAAAAUAUGCCCCAGCAGAGCCGUCGCAAGGAGGGUGAGAGGCCCUGUGCAAAGUUGAUGUGCGAGGCCCUCUACAAUUUUGCGUGUGUGUGUGUGUGUGUGUGUGGUGGGGGAGGUUGCUGUAGCAAGGCAAGGCAAGUUUAUUUAUAUAGCAAAUUUCGAACAAAAUGGUAAUUCAAAGUGCUUUACAUAAAAUUAAGUAAAAUAAUCAUGAAGAACAAAACUAAAACAAGCAAUUUUAAAACUUUGGAAAUUAUUUAAAAAUUGACUUGAAUUUAAAACAGAAAUAGAAAAUGAUCUUACAGUUAAUACAUAAAAUACAGUGCAAUCAGGUCGGACAUCGCACAGUGCUCAUUCAAUAAAUGCACAGCUAAACAGAUGAGUUUUGAGUCUAGAUUUAAAUGUGACUAGUGUUUCAGCACAUCUGAUCUCUUCUGGAGGCUGAUUCUGGAAGCAAUGUAUUUUGGUCCUAGGUCUUUGAGUGACUUCUAGACAAGUAAAAGUACUUUAAAAUCAAUCUUAAAUGUAACUGGAAGUUAAUGAGGACUGGUGUGAUAUGCUCAGAUGUUCUAGUCAGAAUCCUGGCAGCAGUGUUCUGGAUGAGCUGCAGCUGUCUAAUGGUCUUUUUGGGAAGGCCGGUGUGGAGCCUAUUACAAUAGUCCACCCUGCUGGUGAUAAAGCAUUAACAAGUUUCUCCAAGUCUUGGCUGGAAACAAAACAUCUAAUUCUUGCAAUGUUUUUUAAAUGAUAGUAUGCUGAUUUAGUUACUGCUUUGACAUGACUACUGAAACUAAGGUCUGUCUCCAGAAUCACACCACGUUUCCUGUCUUGAUUUUUAGUUGUUAGACCCCUAGAGUCAAAGCAUGCAUUCACCUUAAAAACUUCAUCUUUGUUUCCAAAUGCAAUGACUUCAGUUUUUUCCUUGUUUAACUGAAGAAAGUUCUGGCGCAUCCAACUAUUAAUUUCAUCAAUGCAUUGGCAGAGGGAGUCAAUGGGGCUGUAGUCAUUUGGAGAUAGGGCUAGGUAAAUCUGGGUAUCAUCAGCAUAGCUGUGAUAGGCAAUUAGGUUCUUUCUCAUUAUUUUACUUAGAGGAAGCAUAUACAGGCUAAACAAGAGCGGUGCAAGAAUUGAACCUUGUGGGUCUCCACAUAUCAUGGAUGUCUACUUAGACUUAUGCUCUCCUAGACUCACAUAAUGAUCGCUCCUUUUUAAGUAUGACCUGAACCAUUUGAGUACCAUCCCAGAAAGCCCCACCCAGUUUUCCAGUCUCUCUAGUAGUAUGUUAUGAUCGACAGUGUCAAACGCAGCACUGAGAUCUAGCAAUACCAGCACUGAUAUAUUGCCAGAGUCACAAUUUAAGUUAAUAUCAUUUAUUAUCUUAAUGAGUGCUGUCUCUGUGCUGUAAUGCGGUCUGAAACCAGAUGUUUAAGUAUUUAUUCAGCUGAUUAAAAACUACCUUUUCUAUAAUGUUGCCUAUAAAAGGAAGAUUAGAUAUUGGUCUAUAAUUGCUCAAAAUGGUGUUAUCAAGAUUGCUCUUUUUCAGGAGGGGCUUAACAACUGCAGUUUUCAGGGAGUUUGGAAAAGUCCCAGAAAGAGAUUUGGUUCUAAACAGUUAAGCACACUUUUGAAAAAAGAUGUGGGAAGUGUGUCAAUAUAGCAAGUUGAUGAUUUUAGUUGCUGCACUAUGUCUUCCAAAAUGUUGUUUGUUUUCUUACUGACUAUUAUUGGAGCAAUAUCAUUAAUAACAUUCUUAACUUUUGAGUUGAAGGAAUCAAGGAGAAUAUCAACAGAGUCGGCAGAAAAUACUUGGUGUUAAAGAUAUGGCCUCUGUAAAUAGUACACUAGUGUUCUCGUUAGGGCUGCACUAUUAAUUGCAUGCAAUUGUCAUGCAUGUCUCGUCAGUAAAGCUGGUUCUGUGAUUAGCGGUUGAUGUCAAUAACCUGCUUUCAAAUGGAGCCGCACUUAAUAGACAGAGCCGUAGUUCGCUGACAAGCUACGCAAUAUCGCGUUCAUAACCGCAUGAGAUUCUUCUGCGAUUUUGAACGCAAUAAUGCACCACUUGUCAGCGAACUACGGCUCUGGUUAUUAAGUGUGGCUACAUUUGAAAGCAUAUCCUUCUGACAGAGACAGUUCUAGAGUAAGUGGUAGCAGAGAUCAAUAUAUCAAAGAAAAUACAGAAGUGAUCAGAUAGUACUACGUCCUUAAUAACAAUGAAUGAAAUGUUUAGAGCCCUACUGAUGAUUACAUCUAGAGUGUGUCCACCUUUGUGUGGGUCCAUGCACAUGCUGAAUCAAGUCAAAGGUAUUUAGAACUGUUAUCAUUUCUUUUGUAGUUUUUUUUUCUGCAUUGUCUAUGUGAAAAUUAAAAUCCCCUGCAUUAGCAAAACAGUCAAACUCUGAGGAAAUCAUUGAUAACGUUUCUGUUACCUCAACAAAAUGCUGAAGAGUAUUUUGGAGGCCUGUAAAUAAUAAUAAAAAGAAUGUGUUGAGCACCUUUUAGCACAACCCCUAAAUAUUCAAAAGACAAGUCAUGACCAAAUGACACUUGUUUGCAUUGAUAGACAUCUUUAAAAAAGCAGCUCCACCUCCACCUCUCCUAACAGUCCUGCAAACACUCAUGGAAGUGAAGUUAGGAAGGACUGCUUCAUUGAGGACUGUUGAACUGCAGCUGUCCUCUAGCCAUGUUUCAUUUAGAAACAUAAAAUCCUAAUUGUUUGUGGUUAUAAAGUCAUUGAUUACAAAAUGAUUAAAUUUUUUAGUGAGCGAAUGUUUAAAGAUGCUAACUUGAUGGCAGUGCUUUAUGUCAUUACAUCAGUUUUAGUUUGAUGCAUAUUAGAUGAGUUUGCCCUUCGGCUUAAGAUGGCCUUAAACUUUCUGUCACAUGAUAAAAGUGAAAUCGAGAAAGCUACAGGCACACUGGGUUCCCACUUGUUCUUUAAACAUUUGUGAAUGUUGCGGUUAUUAUAGCAGG